GAUUCAAACUUUUUUCCAAAUUUGCUUAUUUCAUUAUUGAACAUUGUCAGUCCAAUUUGGACACCCUGCAAAUUGUGUGAUAAAUAUAUAAAUUGUAAAAAUUAAUAUAUAUGUAUUUAAUAUGUUAUAUGUGUAAAUAAUAUGUAUCAUAGUAAAAUAGAACCAAGUUUAUAAGUUGAACUAAAUUUGUGACUUACCUCUUUGUCAACCAUUAUCAAUUUCCAGACUUUUGUGCCUCUAAACACUUUAAAUACAAAUCAACACUUUAUCGAUUCAGCUUAUUCAUAGGCAGGAUUUAUAGAUUAUGAUUGAGUAGGGAUUUCAUUAAGACAUAUGCAUAAUGAGAAAAGUAAAUAGCCUUAAGCUAAGGUGGAGCAUAAAUAUUUGCAAUUUGUAAUUGUAAAAUUCUGAAAAUCAAUUUAUAUUAUUGUUUAUAUGAUUAGUAUGCUACAGUUAAUGGGUGGGAAUGAAAAGAAUGUUCUCUACUCAUAGUGAGUUAUAAUCUCAUGAUUGGAAUAAUAUAACUUUAGAAGAAUAAAAUUAAUAGAUUAGUCCAAAAGUUUAAUACUACAAUUCAAAUUAGUAAAAUCAAUUAUAAACAUUAUAAAAAUUUAAAAUAUGAUAAUUAACUAAUUUAAUCAUCAAUCAAUUUAUAAAAAGUUAAUAGAGAUACCUUAUUCUUCAUUGGAGAUAAUAUCGCCUGCAGUUAUGGUUCUUGCUAAUGAAGUAGAAGUAGAAACCGAAUUUGUGUUACGAACCAAAGAUGCUGGAUCAAUCUUUCUAAUGUUUUGAUGCCAACCUGUUUCGCCCAUUGGAAAAAGAAGUGGAUAUUGCAAUGGAUCAUAACAUCCAUAAUAAUGCUUUAUUCUAUGUCUGUCGCCGGAAUGAGCAUGAAAUUGAAGGAUAAUCUUUCAAUCUUCGAAAGAAUUUUGCAUACGGGUUGAUCUCUAAAAUUUUCAUGAGCAU
rnacentral:lncRNA from 1 species